CAGGAUCUCUCUGGUAUCCUGAAAUAGUGCUGCAGUGUAGACAUACGCUAAGGUACCACAGGACUAUUUUUUUUUUAAAUAGUUGUUUUUAAAGUUACAGAUUAACACAACUACCCCCUCAGACUUUACCGACGUUCUCGUUCUGCGGAUGUGCAUCCUAGUUUGGCACAGUCUUGUAUGUAAUGUUAGAAAUAUGAAGUAUGAGACCACUUAAAUAUGUUAAUGAAAGCCAUCAGUGGUGCUCCAGAAGUCUUAAUGAUUGAGUGAUCAACUUAACCACUUGUGAACAGGCUUGUUUGUCCUGCAAAUUCAGAAGUAGUUGGACUAGGUAGGAAGAUGUGACCCUACCACCUGGAACAGGCAUUCCCUUUUGACCAGGUGAAAGGGGGAAAUGGAGAAUAAACGAUUCCCGCCUAUAAGGGAAGAUUAUUAAGCCAGGAGAAGUUAUCAGAUCUUUGUCUUCAGCUGGAGAUUCAAGCCAGAACUGGAGAAUCAAGUCAGACUCAAAGAUCACUUUUGACUUCGAGACCCGCCUGAAAUAAGAACAACUCUUUAGGGUAUGACUCUGCUUGCAGUAAGUUUAACGAAUUAGAACUAGCUAUGCAUGGUUUUUUGUUUGUUUUAGAGUAACUUACUGUGAUCUACCUGUUUUUAUUUGCAACCACUUAAAUCCUACAGUUUGUACUUAAUGUUUGCAUUGCUCU